AUUUAUAUAGCUUAUAUGUUAGAGUGAACACUUGAAGAUAUUAUGGAGAUUUUUAUUUGUCUAUAAAUA
rnacentral:tRNA from 1 species